AGAGGGCCAAGCAUGGCCAGCAGACCUUGGCGAGCUUCUUCCAGCGCGGGCCUGCAGCGUCACCAGCAGCAGCGGCAGCAGCAUCCCCCAUGCAAUCAAGCAGCGCAGCGCCAGCAGCAUCAGCGUCGCCCAUGCAAGCGAGCAGUGCAGGCAAUGUGCCAGCAUCCCCUCCCACAGCGACCCCUUCAGCAGCACCACCAGCAGCAGCACUGCCACUGGCAGAGCCUAUGGAGGUGGAUGUGCGCGCACUAGUGCAUGCACCACCUGCUCAGCCCAC
rnacentral:lncRNA from 1 species